GGUGGUUUUAAGAGGGAGUACUUUCCUGUAGGGAUAUAUCUUUUGCUAUAUCAGUAUAUCUUGUGCACGUGCAAAGCUGAUUCUUCUUCUUGACCACCAUUAGGGAAUUAGGGCCUGCUGUCUGUCACUAGUCUUUGCAAGAUACUAAGCCUGAAGACAAAUGCAGCAUUGCAUUAGCCAAAGUGCUGAUUACCAUAGAAAAGAAAAGAUCCCUAGUUUUCAUGACUUCAACACACACCACCGGCCCCCGGUAAUAAUAUCCCACCGAGAAUAUUUUCCCCACAACACGCCUCUUCAUCCUUCAUCCAGAUGAUACCCCGGCCACCAACUUCCCACCGGUACGGCUCCACCCAAACACUCCCGACCUCAUUUCCCGGGCCGUAUAUAUAAACCAGCACCCCACCGGAAUCCCACCGGAAAAACAGACCCCCACCCCCGUCCGUCUCCGGCUCCGCCAUGGAGGACUGGCUCUUCUACUCCCUCACCACCCUCCUCUGCCUCCUCUGCUCGCUCCUCCUCCGUGCCCGGGCCAAGUCCGACGACUCUCCUCCAUCCCCAUCCCCGCCGCUGCCGCCGGGGCCAGCGGCGCUGCCGGUGCUGGGCCCGCUGCUCCACCUGGCCCGCCGCGACUUCGACCUCGAGCCCCUCCUCCGCCGCCUCGCGCGGGCCUACGGGCCGGUCUUCUCCUUCGCGCCGCUGGGGCCCUCGCGGCCCACCAUCUUCGUCGCCGCCAGGGGCGCGGCGCACCGCGCGCUCGUCCAGCGGGGCGCCGCCUUCGCCUCCCGCCCGCCCGCCGCCGCCGCCGCCACCGUGCUCACCAGCGGCGGCCGCAGCGUCAGCUCCGCGCCGUACGGACCCACGUGGCGCGCGCUGAGGCGUACCCUCGCCGCCGGCGUGCUCAACCCCGCCCGCCUCCGCGCCUUUGCCCCCGCCCGCCGCUGGGUCCUCCACGUCCUCCUCUCCCGCCUCCGCUCCGCCGACUCCUCCGGCGAUGGAUCCGGAUCCGUCGUGGCUGUCAUGGAGCCGUUCCAGUACGCCAUGUUCUGCCUGCUCGUGCACAUGUGCUUCGGCGGCGGCGGCGGGGUCAUCGGGGACAUCGAGGCGAUGCAGCGGGACCUGCUGGGGAACUUUCUCAGCUUCCAGGUCUUCGCCUUCCUCCCGCCGCUCACCAAGCUCGUCUUCCGCCGCCGCUGGAGAAAGCUCGUCUCGCUGCGCCGGAGGCAGGAGGAGCUCUUCGUCCCGCUCAUCCGCGCCAGGCGAGAGAACGCGGCGGCCGGGGCCGGCGACUGCGACUGCUACGUGGAUUCUCUGGUGAGGCUGGUUAUCCCGGAGGACGGCGGGAGGGGGCUCACCGACGGCGAGAUCGUCAGCCUCUGCUCCGAGUUCCUCAGCGCUGGCACCGACACCACGGCCACCGCGCUGCAGUGGAUCCUCGCCAAUCUAGUGAAGAACCCGGCGAUGCAGGACAGGCUGAGGGCCGAGAUCUCCGCCGCGGCGGGCGAUGGCGACAGCGAGGUGAGGGAGGAGGACCUGCAGCAGGGGAUGCCGUACCUCAAGGCGGUGGUGCUGGAGGGGCUGCGGCGGCACCCGCCGGGCCACUACGUGCUGCCGCACGCCGCGACGGAGGAGACCACGCUGGACGGGUACCGGGUGCCCGCGGGCGCGCCGGUGAACUUCGCCGUGGGCGACAUCGGGCUGGACGAGGAGGUGUGGGAGAAGCCGGAGGAGUUCCGGCCGGACCGGUUCAUGCCGGGCGGCGAAGGGGAGGACGUGGACCUCACCGGCAGCAAGGAGAUCAAGAUGAUGCCCUUCGGCGCCGGCAGGAGGGUCUGCCCCGGCAUGGCGCUGGCCCUGCUGCACCUCGAGUACUUCCUCGCCAACCUUGUCAGGGAGUUCGAGUGGCGGGAGGUAGCUGGCGAGGAGGUCGACCUCACCGAGAAGCUCGAGUUCACCGUCGUCAUGAGGCGGCCACUCAAGGCGAGGGCCGUGCCGCUGCGGCGCGGAAGGUCGUCGUCGACCAAUAUUGCCACCGCCACAUGCUCCUCAGGUUGAUGGCCGCGGCACGGCAGCCUUCUUCUUCCCUGAAUGUUUAGUACGUCAUUAGCCUCUCGCUGCUCACCAUCAUAUAAAAAUGAUUAACUAGAUUAAGCUUGUCUUGUUCCUUGCUUAAUUUGAUAGUGUUUGCUAGUAAUCGCCACUAAUUUGCUACUCCAUUUGAGUAGUGAAUUAUUGCACGCACGAACUGAAAAGCUGUGUAGUUCGAAGGAUCACGCAGGAGGAACUGCGUGCUCUAUUGAUAAAUUUCCAACGCAAGUGGAAAGAUGUGAUCACAUUUGUUCAUUGGAUAUAUAGAAGUUAACAAGUUAUCAACCGGAAAACUAGUAAGAAAAAUUGAAGAGUGAAACAAACAAAAAAUAUAUGAAGACAAGAGAAUGGUUUCCUCUUUGUAAAUCUACAUGAAAUGAUGAGAAUCAGUUCAGAUCUUGAGCAUAUUAACUCACAAUUUUAUUUAACAGAAUGCAAAUGUCUCAAAGAAUGAGGGAUUUAAAUCGAGCAGGAUUUAGCCGCUAUUGCGGCGCAAAGCUAUUCCUGUUGCCGCGAAUCAACAUCAAGCAUUAAUUUUGUAUUUUCUCCGUCCCAUCCAUAUUAAGUACCGAAAUAUUACAUAUAUUUAGACGUAUCUAUAAACUCUAUAAAACUGAAACCCACUAAUUACAGUUAAUUUAGCAAGCUGCACAUGCAGCCUAUCCAUGUCAGCACGAGGUCACCAUCUUCCAAUCCCGUUCCCGCGAGCGCGUCCGGUUCCGUUCCCGCAACCUGUUCCAGCAGCUGCCAUUGCAUGGGCUUCGCCUGGGCCAAGUUCGCGGCCCAUACCAAGAGGAAAAUGUGGCGCAGCAGCAGGAGAAAAAACCCAUAUUCUCAAAAAAACAGUGCAGGAGAAAAAACCCGAUCUGUACCCUGUGCGUUGCUUCGCCUGCCCCAUGCUCCCUCUCGCCGUCCUCUGCGCUUCAUCUUCCUCACCGAGUUCUCCUCAUCUCCUCUCCUGUUUCCUCCACCAUCUUCUUCCUCUCAGGACGAGCAGCGGCGCGACGGCAAGGUCAAUGGGGACGCGGAAGGGUGCGCCCGGCAAAGUCCACGGGAUGCCCCGUCGAUUGGCCUGGUUGGGGCCGUGGAGUGCAUCGGCGAGGCACGGUGGUGUGCCGGCACACGGCGGCGCGCGGGCCUGAUCAACACGAGGUGCAGGAGGGCGUGAAGGCGAGGUCCACAGGGCGCGGGCGCGAUUCGCCCGUAGGGGCAGCGUAGCCAUUGUUCGACCACUAUUUGAGUCGGCCACAACCACGCUCCGCCUUGGCCCUGCCUACAAUGGUUAAAACCUCCUGCACUCCUCAGCCUGACCACACGUUUGACUCUCUCCUUUUUCGCACAGAAGGUUUUUUGAUGAUUUGCUCCAGGUUCUCCUGUCUCCCUGCACAGAUGGUGUUUGAUGAUUUGCCCCAAAGAUUUGCUUUGUAUAGGAUAUGUUGAACUUCGUUUCCCUGUACAUUUUUGUUUUAGGUCAUUAUGGUAGAUAAUGGUGACAAUAUACAAAAAUCAGAGAUGAGAUUGUUCCGGUGCACACGGAGGUAAGAGGCAGCUCUGAAACUUUUUUGCUCCCUGUUCAUGUUUGGUGUGAACUAAGAACAAUUCAAUUUUUAGUUUCUCUUCAUGGUAGUGAAGUAGAAAAUGUAAUUCAAAUGAUACAAUCAUAUAUACCGUGUACUCCUUUGUUCCAUCAAUGAGUUUGUUGUCACAGGUCAUUAUGGUAGAUAAUGGUGACAAAAUUACAAUAAUCAUAUAUGAGAUUGUUCCGGUGCAUACGAAGGUAAGAGGCAACUCCGAAGCUUUUUGGCUCCAUGUUCAUGUUGGCUGUGAACUAAGAACAAUUCAAAUUUUAGUUUUUUUUCGUCGUACAGUGAAGUAGAAAAUUUAAUUCGAAUGGUACAUGUUACGAAAUCCGGUGGAUGCAUGAUCAAGGAUGACACCGAGGCACGAUAUUUGUUAACGAGGUUCGGCCAAAACCUACAUCCCCGGGGCAUGACUACGGGCGCUCCUCCCCCCAUAAUACCGCAACACCGGCCACCCUGGGCGCCAACACAAAGCCGCCGGCUCCCCCUGCGAGCUUAUUGCUAUUAUGUUGUCAUGGUCUCUUUGAGCUACCCGCGGUGCCUUUAUAUAUUAACGCCGCCAUGCUCAACCUUGCACCGCAUUGGACGUUCCGCGGCGCCCGUCGAGCAUGAUCCUCGCACCUCCCAUAAGAUCUUCCGCAUCCCCUCCACCUCGCUCUGAUACCACUUGUUACGAAAUCCGGCGGAUGCACGAUCAAGGAUGACACUGAGGCACGAUAUUUGUUAACGAGGUUCGGCCGAAGCCUACAUCCCCGGGGCAUGACUACGGGUGCUCCUCCCCCCAUAAUACCGCAAUACCGGCUACCCUGGGCGCCGGCACAACCCGCCGGCUCCCCCUGUGAGCCUAUUGCUAUUAUGUUUUCUUGGUCUCUUUGGGCUACCCGCGGUGCCUUUAUAUAUUAGCCCUACUCGUACACAUAUUCGACACAUAUCUCAACAAACUCCACCUUGGCGAAUAUGUCCUUCGCCACCUUGAAGCCGUCAUGCAUGAACCUCCGUGUACCUUGGACUUGAAUCGAUCAUGAGCUCCACUGCUACUUCCUUAGACAUCACAUGACUCCACCUGCAACUGUAGUCCCUUCCUUUUCAUUAACAGUCAAUGCUCCCGCGGAAAAAUAAGUUCCUCCACACUCCCGCCUUGUGUUCCUAACUUCCCGGAGUAUCCAUUCAACGCCAUCACACACCGAUCAUAAGGUCACCAUAUCCGACAACGCCGAUGUAUCGUCACCCUGAUUCCCUCUUCCUUGAUCUAUGUGAAAAUUGAACAACUCACAUGUUAGCUGCCACAUAUAAGAGUUACAUGAACUCAUCAUCCUCGCCAUCGUUGUCUGUCCUCAUGAAACUUGAAGGAAUGUCGCCGUCGCCCUUGAGUCACCUUGAGUCAAUUUCACAGUUGACUCAUCCUUUCCGUAUAGUCGUCUACAUGUCCCACAGCCACCGCACUUCGUCUCCUUCUGCAUCCCGUCACCUGCACUUUGCCAUGUGCAUCGAACAUCACAGAAUAUAUGUCCAUGUGCUCUCUAAGCCUUUGACAAUCCAGACUUUACUAAAACACUUUCUCAGAUUCUCUAUGGUCGACUCUUGUCCAUCACUUCAGACCUUCAGGCCAUCCCGAUAGACCCAGUCAGCAACUUGAACCUGGUACUCGCCAACACUGCUUCAGCACCCCUGCACACAUGUCAAACUGCUGUCUGACCGCAUAUGCCCUGAUCUGUUGCUGUGUCCCGUGCUUACCGCACACCUCACUGCUAUUACCGCGUCGAGCAUCCGCAAUCUUGGCCAAGAUCUACCGGGUAGCUAACCCACACCAUCUCGGACCCCACUGCAGAUCCAUCCGUCAUAUCCGACCGAUGCCGAGUUCCACGCCUCCUUCCAGACCCUGAGCUCCAGCCUAGAUCCACGUGCCUCUCGCCUUCCUUGCUGAUAUAAGCUCUGACUCUCCGCUAGCUUACGCCGUAGCCUCCCCAUCAGCCCGAGUGGAAUCUUCCGUCAGAUCCCAUCUCCCCUUCAACAGGACUCCUUAGUAGAUGAUCAGUUCACCUUGCGUCCUGUCGACUUCAAGUUCCCGUGUGUACACCUUCUUGAAUCAACCCAUGCACUGCAUGUUGAAGCACGCACCCCUCAGGCACGCGCCACGUGUUGCCACGCCACAGAAUUCAGACACCAUCAGCCCUCACGCUCCUAUGUCGUUGUCGCCGAUUUCACCGUCCUUUUCUGUUCCGACCGACAUUAUCGUCGAUCUGCCGGACCGUCUAGUCCAGCCCAGUCGAACUUGUCCGACUGCAACCAUGCUCCACCUUGCGUCGUAGCUCGACGCCUUGUAGACACACGAUUCUCACGACUCGCUCCAGGCUACUCCAAGCCUUAUACGCGUGUCGUCUCUCGUCGCCUAAAGUCACGCUUCGUAUGUGAUCACUUUUUUCCUCCCUUUCUUGGAGUCCGUGCCCAAAUCCCAAUUAGCCAAACACAUCGUGUACUAAUGCUCCUCUCUAACCAACCGGCUAGUACUGCUGCACCCGCGCGUGAUUCCCUUCGUGCGUGACGCCGCGUUUGCAGUUGACUUAGAUUUUUUAAUCCAUCUGCCACAACUUCGCUCGACGAGAUAACUCCGGUGCCUGUAACCUGCUGCCGACGCCGGCACUUUGUAACAGUCGCACCCUUCUGCAAAUUAUAUGCACAAACCCGUGUUGCAUCCUGGCCAACUGCAUCGUCCACACAACUCGUCCACCAUGCCACAAUGCCGCCCUGUGCUACACCGAUCCACCGCUAUACCGCGAUGCAUCCCGCCCCGAUCUAUCCGGUCGCACUUGCGUCCGGUCGCCGGUCUGAUCGCGAGCCGAAGCCAUCGUCCGGUCCGCGACGUCUUCCCGGCCACUGUGUCGCCCGAUCACCAUGCCUGGUCGAUCCUUGCCAACUGUAGCCCAUCGAACGGUUCAGGCCGCCUGAAGUGUCUGACUCCACCGAUCGAAAAACCGAUCUCCGCCAUGCUCAACCUUGCACCGCAUUGGACGUUCUGCAGCGCCCGUCGAGCAUGAUCCUCGCACCUCCCACAAGAUCUUCCGCAUCCCCUCCACCUCGCUCUGAUACCACUUGUUACGAAAUCCGGCGGAUUCACGAUCAAGGAUGACACCGAGGCACGAUAUUUGUUAACGAGGUUCGGCCAAAGCCUAGAUCCUCGGGGCUUGACUAUGGGCGCUCCUCCGCCCAUAAUACCGCAACACAGGCCACCCUGAGCGCCGGCACAAAGCCGCCGGCUCUCCCUGCGAGCCUAUUGCUAUUAUGUUGUCAUGGUCUCUUUGGGCUACCCACGGUGCCUUUAUAUAUUAGCGUCGCCAUGCUCAACCUUGCACCGCAUUGGACGUUCCGCGGCGCCUGUCGAGCAUGAUCCUCGCACCUUCCACAAGAUCUUCUGCAUCCCCUCCACCUCGCUCUGAUACCACUUGUUACGAAAUCCGGCGGAUGCACGAUCAAGGAUGACACCGAGGCACGAUAUUUGUUAACGAGGUUCGGCCGAAGCCUACAUCCCCGGGGCAUGACUACGGGCGCUCCUCCCCCCAUAAUACCGCAAUACCGGCCACCCUGAGCGCCGGCACAACUCGCCGGCUCCCCCUGCGAGCCUAUUGCUAUUAUGUUGUCAUGGUCUCUUUGGGCUACCCGCGUGCCUUUAUAUAUUAGACCCGGGUUACACGUGUUCGACUCCAACACCUAACCCUACGCUAAUUCUAAGUCCAAUUGUAGCCCUACUCGUACACAUAUUCGACACAUAUCUCAACAGUACAAUCAUAUAUAUCGUCUACUGCUUUGUUCCAUCAGUGCGUUUGUUGUCGCAGGUAACAUAAAAGUGAGAAUUUAGUUCUUGCAAUACUUCAGAAACCGCCAGGUAUUGUCAAACAAGCUGAACGUUGUUCCACUGCUGAGUAUUGACUUUCUUAUUUUACUCCAUCUUUUCAUCUUGGAUAUGUGCUAUUAUCUCAUGAGUUAUGCCCUAAUGACCUGCUCAUCUCAUAUAUGUACUAUUUUAUUCUAAAAAUAAUAUACGCUUGAGGUGCACAACAAUGUUUUCUUCUGCGUUUUACCCGCUACUUCCUGCAGUUGCUAAUCGGUUUAUAUCUGCAGGAUAUGAAAGCUUUCCUAAGGCUGGAUUUUCUUAUAAAGAUGCGCCAUGCUGUAGCAUAAUGUUCUCAUGUGUUAUUUACCUUUGUUGCUGCAGUUGUUGUUUAUCACAUUUGUAGCAGAUCUAAGGAGCUAGCAGAUCAAUUGUGUUAUAUAAUUAUAUGGACAAAGAAUUUACAUGUUGUUUCGGAAUCACCUUGCAUUGUCAAUUGGUUUCAUUCACUCCUUUGCUAAAAUAUAACGUAGUAAGCUGUCUUCUCUACGGUUUCAAUCAUCUCCCUGAAAUAGUUAUAAUCAAAUUUUGCAGGUGACACCAAGAGCUGUUGAAACUAUUGAAGCAAAACACAUGCUUUGUUUGGUGGCAUUAAUUUCUAAACUAUAUAAGUGAUCUAUUAUCUAAAUGAAAAUUGCAGUUUAGUCAGACAACUUAUUUUAUGGAAUAUAUAAAGGUAUGUCUAACACUAUUCAAGAGCUUAGAUUAUGUUUCCUUUCUAAAUGAAAACAAUUUUUAUACCAUUUUUCUCUUAUUGCUCAUCAGGUUUUAUACCAUCAAUUGUCCAUUCAAAUUGCAGACUCCGAGCCCCGCCGCAACGUGCGGGGCAUCAUCUAGUUUUAGUAUAUAGAUAUGUCCAUAUUUAAACAAAUUUGAGCCACUUAAUAUGGGCUGGAGGGAGUAUUAAUCUUCUGAUUAUACACCGAA